rnacentral:rRNA from 1 species
AUUGAACGCUGGCGGCAGGCUUAACACAUGCAAGUCGAGCGGAGAUGAGGUGCUUGCACCUUAUCUUAGCGGCGGACGGGUGAGUAAUGCUUAGGAAUCUGCCUAUUAGUGGGGGACAACAUUCCGAAAGGAAUGCUAAUACCGCAUACGCCCUACGGGGGAAAGCAGGGGAUCUUCGGACCUUGCGCUGAUAGAUGAGCCUAAGUCGGAUUAGCUAGUUGGUGGGGUAAAGGCUUACCAAGGCGACGAUCUGUAGCGGGUCUGAGAGGAUGAUCCGCCACACUGGGACUGAGACACGGCCCAGACUCCUACGGGAGGCAGCAGUGGGGAAUAUUGGACAAUGGGCGGAAGCCUGAUCCAGCCAUGCCGCGUGUGUGAAGAAGGCCUUUUGGUUGUAAAGCACUUUAAGCGAGGAGGAGGCUACUUGGAUUAAUACUCUAGGAUAGUGGACGUUACUCGCAGAAUAAGCACCGGCUAACUCUGUGCCAGCCGCCGCAGUAAAAC